UGAAAAACCCGCUCGCCGGAAGACCAAGGGUUCCUGUCCAACGUUAAUCGGGGCAGGGUGAGUCGACCCCUAAGGCGAGGCCGAAAGGCGUAGCUGAUGGGAAACAGGUUAAUAUUCCUGUACUGAAUGUGACUGCGAAGGGGGGACGGAGAAGGCUAGGCCAUCCGGGCGACGGUCGUCCCGGUUUAAGCGUGUAGGUGGGAGGAGCAGGCAAAUCCGCUCUUCUGU
rnacentral:rRNA from 1 species